CUAUACAUGCAAGUCGAACGAACUCUGGUAUUGAUUGGUGCUUGCAUCAUGAUUUACAUUUGAGUGAGUGGCGAACUGGUGAGUAACACGUGGGAAACCUGCCCAGAAGCGGGGGAUAACACCUGGAAACAGAUGCUAAUACCGCAUAACAACUUGGACCGCAUGGUCCGAGCUUGAAAGAUGGCUUCGGCUAUCACUUUUGGAUGGUCCCGCGGCGUAUUAGCUAGAUGGUGGGGUAACGGCUCACCAUGGCAAUGAUACGUAGCCGACCUGAGAGGGUAAUCGGCCACAUUGGGACUGAGACACGGCCCAAACUCCUACGGGAGGCAGCAGUAGGGAAUCUUCCACAAUGGACGAAAGUCUGAUGGAGCAACGCCGCGUGAGUGAAGAAGGGUUUCGGCUCGUAAAACUCUGUUGUUAAAGAAGAACAUAUCUGAGAGUAACUGUUCAGGUAUUGACGGUAUUUAACCAGAAAGCCACGGCUAACUACGUGCCAGCAGCCGCGGUAAUACGUAGGUGGCAAGCGUUGUCCGGAUUUAUUGGGCGUAAAGCGAGCGCAGGCGGUUUUUUAAGUCUGAUGUGAAAGCCUUCGGCUCAACCGAAGAAGUGCAUCGGAAACUGGGAAACUUGAGUGCAGAAGAGGACAGUGGAACUCCAUGUGUAGCGGUGAAAUGCGUAGAUAUAUGGAAGAACACCAGUGGCGAAGGCGGCUGUCUGGUCUGUAACUGACGCUGAGGCUCGAAAGUAUGGGUAGCAAACAGGAUUAGAUACCCUGGUAGUCCAUACCGUAAACGAUGAAUGCUAAGUGUUGGAGGGUUUCCGCCCUUCAGUGCUGCAGCUAACGCAUUAAGCAUUCCGCCUGGGGAGUACGGCCGCAAGGCUGAAACUCAAAGGAAUUGACGGGGGCCCGCACAAGCGGUGGAGCAUGUGGUUUAAUUCGAAGCUACGCGAAGAACCUUACCAGGUCUUGACAUACUAUGCAAAUCUAAGAGAUUAGACGUUCCCUUCGGGGACAUGGAUACAGGUGGUGCAUGGUUGUCGUCAGCUCGUGUCGUGAGAUGUUGGGUUAAGUCCCGCAACGAGCGCAACCCUUAUUAUCAGUUGCCAGCAUUAAGUUGGGCACUCUGGUGAGACUGCCGGUGACAAACCGGAGGAAGGUGGGGAUGACGUCAAAUCAUCAUGCCCCUUAUGACCUGGGCUACACACGUGCUACAAUGGAUGGUACAACGAGUUGCGAACUCGCGAGAGUAAGCUAAUCUCUUAAAGCCAUUCUCAGUUCGGAUUGUAGGCUGCAACUCGCCUACAUGAAGUCGGAAUCGCUAGUAAUCGCGGAUCAGCAUGCCGCGGUGAAUACGUUCCCGGGCCUUGUACACACCGCCCGUCACACCAUGAGAGUUUGUAACACCCAAAGUCGGUGGGGUAACCUUUUAGGAACCAGCCGCCUA
rnacentral:rRNA from 1 species